rnacentral:rRNA from 1 species
UACGAGGGGGGCUAAUGUUGUUCGGAAUCACUGGGCGUAAAGCGUGCGCAGGCGGUUUGUUAAGUCUGCUGUGAAAUCCCCGAGCUCAACUUGGGAAUUGCAGUGGAUACUGGCAGGCUGGAGUAUGGUAGAGGAAGGUGGAAUUCCCGGUGUAGCAGUGAAAUGCGUAGAGAUCGGGAGGAACACCAGUGGCGAAGGCGGCCUUCUGGACCAAUACUGACGCUCAUGCACGAAAGCGUGGGGAGCAAACAGG